GUGUGUCGCCACUCUGUUCUCUCUACCGCUCUGGGCAUGGCUCUCUUUUACACUUGUUGUCUUCAAGAUUAACCUCGUCUGACAGUGAACGAUUUUAAAUGUACAACUCCAGCUACAUUGACAAAUACGAAGGUGGAGCGGUCUGGGUUCUUUCUGUGUGGAGUUUUCAUGUUCUCCCUGUAUCCAUGUGGGUUUCCUCCGGGUGCUCCUGUUUCCUCCCACAGUCCAGAAGUGUGUAAGUGAGGUGAAUUGGAGACACUAAAUUGUCCAUGACUGUGUUUGAUAUUAAAACUGAUGAAUUGAACUGAUGAAUCUUGUGUAAUGAGUAACUACCGUUUCUGUCAUGAAUGUAACCAAAGUGUAAAACAUGACUUUAAAUUCCUAAUAAAACAUAAAACAAA